CAAUAUCUGAGAUACUCGUGGUACUUUUAUUUUGAACCUACAUUACGCCUACGGGAGCCCGACAUUUUGGGAUGUAUAUCAAGCCCAUACCAAGCUUGGAUUGGCAAGGGAAGAUAGAGAUACCUUUGGGGGCACCCACCUAUCGAGAGAUAGGUGUCAAAAUAGAAGUUACGGUAUCUUGGAUUAUUU
rnacentral:other from 1 species